GGGCAUGCAGGGCACUGAAAUGGCUUCUCGUCUGUGUGGGUUCGUAGGUGAUCUUUUAUGCUGGACUUACGCGAGAAGGUUUGAGGGCAUGAAGGGCACUGAAAUGGCUUUUCACCUGUGUGGGUGUGCAGGUGGUAUUUCAAGUUGGUUUUUCGUGAGAAGCUCUGAAGGCACGAAGGGCACUGAAAUGGCCGCUCACCCGUGUGGGCGCGCAAGUGCCUCUUCAGGUUGUCCCUACUUGAUAAGCUCUUAGAGCACAAAUGGCACUUAAUCAGAUGCUCGCCAGAAUGGACCUUGGCAUGUGCUUCCGGACGAAAC